rnacentral:rRNA from 1 species
UACGUAGGUGACAAGCGUUGCCCGGAUUUACUGGGCGUAAAGAGCGCGCAGGCGGUCGAUCAAGUCGAGUGUGAAAGCCCCCGGCUCAACUGGGGAGGGUCAUUCGAUACUGAUCGACUCGAAGGCAGGAGAGGGUAGUGGAAUUCCCGGUGUAGUGGUGAAAUGCGUAGAUAUCGGGAGGAACACCAGUGGCGAAGGCGACUACCUGGCCUGUUCUUGACGCUGAGGCGCGAAAGCUAGGGGAGCAAACGGG